UUCGCAAUGCCCGAAAGGGUGACGAUGCGACGCCGCGUGAGCGAAGAAGGCCCUAGGGUUGUAAAGCUCUGUUGAGGGUUAUGAAAAAUAGAUGGGUUAAUACCCCAUUUAUUUGACAAAAGCCCAAAAGGAAGCCACGGCUAACUCUGUGCCAGCAGCCGCGGUAAUACAGAGGUGGCGAGCGUUGUUCGGUAUUAUUGGGCGUAAAGAGCACGUAGGUGGUUUUGUAAGUCAGGUGUGAAAGCCUUCUGUUCAAAGGAAGAACGGCAUCUGAAACUGCAGAUCUUGAGUGUAGGAGGGGAGAGUGGAACCUCUGGUGGAGCGGCGAAAUGCGUAGAUAUCAGAAGGAACGUCGGCGGCGAAAGCGACUCUCUGGCCUAUUACUGACACUGAGUGUGCGAAAGUUAGGGGAGCAAACGGGAUUAGAUACCCCGGUAGUCCUAACCGUAAACGAUGGGCACUAAGUAGAGGGGUUUU
rnacentral:rRNA from 1 species